rnacentral:lncRNA from 1 species
UCCCUUUUGAAACAUGAUCCUAAUGUUAUUGAUGUCCAUGUUUAGCCAACUCAACUCUUGUUAUGCCACCCAUUGGGGGCUUUGAUGAGAUCCCACAGAGGGAUUAAUGUUUAAGUUAUGUUUAUGUAUAGUGCAUGCACAGGUUGAGUUUGGUGUAUGUUGAAAAGGAAAAGUUUUAAUUUUUAUGUAUGUUGUUGAUCAUGUAUGGGAUUAAUCAGGUUCACAGGAUGUAUGUUAGGCUUGCUACGGGUCCCGGCGGCCUUAAGUCGACCCGGAUCCUAGCGCCGGUAGCGGUCCGAUUUUCGGGUCGUUACA